CAUCACUACGCUAGAUGCAUAUCAAUAAGCGGAGGAAAAGAAACUAACAAGGAUUCCCUUAGUAACGGCGAGUGAAGCGGGAAGAGCUCAAAUUUGAAAUCUUCAAGGUUUUACCUUGACGAAUUGUAGUUUAAAGAAGUGUUUUCUGUUGGAGUUUUGGUAAAAGUUCUUUGGAAUAGGACAUCAUAGAGGGUGAGAAUCCCGUAUUUGACCAGUUAUUUUCAGCUGUGUGAUACACUUUCAAAGAGUCGGAUUGUUUGGGAAUGCAGUCCAAAAUGGGUGGUAAAUUUCAUCUAAAGCUAAAUAUUGGCGAGAGACCGAUAGCGAACAAGUACCGUGAGGGAAAGAUGAAAAGAGCUUUGAAAAGAGAGUUAAACAGUACGUGAAAUUGUCAAGAGGGAAGCGUUUGACACCAGUGUUGUUUUUCGAAAAUCAAUUCAAGAAUGUUUUGAUUUUGAGUAAGUAUUGACUUCAUCAGCUUGCUUCUUUCUUUACAGAAACUUAUUGAAUGCACUUUUCAGUUAACAAGUCAACAUCAAUUUCUUUUGUUGUAAAAGGGUAUGAGGAAGGUGGCUUUCUCUUCGGCGCAAGUGUUUAUAGCCUUUGAUCUCUGCAAUCGGAGAGAUUGAGGUCUGCAGCGUAGAUCCUUCGGGGUUAGAUACAUUUGUGCUAAGCUAUAGCCUUGUAUAGACAACAUUGUUGACUAUGCUCAGUCAUGUAGCUUACUCGCUUAUGCUAUUUUACCUACGCUUAGGAUGUUGAAGAUAUGCGCGACACG
rnacentral:rRNA from 1 species